GACGUCAAGUCAUCAUGCCCCUUAUGUCCAGGGCUUCACACAUGCUACAAUGGCCGGUACAGAGGGCUGCGAUACCGUGAGGUGGAGCGAAUCCCUUAAAGCCGGUCUCAGUUCGGAUCGGGGUCUGCAACUCGACCCCGUGAAGUUGGAGUCGCUAGUAAUCGCAGAUCAGCAACGCUGCGGUGAAUACGUUCCCGGGCCUUGUACACACCGCCCGUCACGUCAUGAAAGUCGGUAACACCCGAAGCCGGUGGCCUAACCCUUGUGGAGGGAGCCGUCGAAGGUGGGAUUGGCGAUUGGGACGAAGUCGUAACAAGGUAGCCGUACCGGAAGGUGCGGCUGGAUCACCUCCUUUCU
rnacentral:rRNA from 1 species